AAAAAAUUAGUAGUGGGGGGCACCUGGGUGGCUCAGUCAGCUAAGCGACUGACUUCGCCCCAGGUCAUGAU